AGCUCCAAUAGCGUAUAUUAAAGUUGCUGCAGUUAAAAAGCUCGUAGUUGGAUUUGUGGCGCGGUCGUCCGGCGGGGCUUCCGGUUUCAUAGUAUCCCGGGGCCGUUUGUCUGGGUUCUUGGCCGCCCCAUUCUUCGGUUGCGUGUCGCUGGCAUUAGGUUGUCGGCUUCUUCGCGCCGAUCGUUUACUGUGAAAAAAUUAGAGUGUUCAAGGCAGGCGGUUCGCCUGAAUGGUGGUGCAUGGAAUAAUGGAACAGGACCCCGGUUCUAUUCUGUUGGUCUUUGGAGCUCGAGGUAAUGAUCAAGAGGGACGGACGGGGGCAUUCGUAUUGCGGUGUGAGAGGUGAAAUUCUUAGAUCGCCGCAAGACGGGCUGCUGCGAAAGCGUUUGCCAAGAACGUU
rnacentral:rRNA from 1 species